rnacentral:misc_RNA from 1 species
UGGGGUGAUGCCAACCUAGUCAAAUUUAAUGCUUCCAAAACGCAAGCUUGUCUUUUUACCGCUAAACGGAGUCCAUUCUAAUUAGCUCUGACUUUCCAAGCUGUAUCUGUACCGAUCACUAAUAGUAUUGGUCUUCUAGGCAUAUAUGUCUCGUCUAAUCUGAACUUCGGAUAGUCAUAAAAUCCAAGGAAAAACUGCUGGUAAAAAACUUUGUACCCCCAACAAAGUAAGGAAUACUUUACACCGCAACAGCUUCUUACUCUUCAUUUAUAGGAUGGCUCUGUCAAUUACCAGCUUGCUACUUUGGAUUCUAGGGACCGACGCGCCAAAAGACUCAUCGGUGUCGAAUCACUGAUUAACUCCAGACUUCAAGUCCAGAACAUUGGCGCAGGGCUGUCUAUGUGUCGGUAUUUUACAG